ACCUCCCACCCGUGACUACCUAACACUGUUGCUUCGGCGGGGAGCCCCCCAGGGGCGAGCCGCCGGGGACCACUGAACUUCAUGCCUGAGAGUGAUGCAGUCUGAGCCUGAAUACAAAUCAGUCAAAACUUUCAACAAUGGAUCUCUUGGUUCCGGCAUCGAUGAAGAACGCAGCGAACUGCGAUAAGUAAUGUGAAUUGCAGAAUUCAGUGAAUCAUCGAGUCUUUGAACGCACAUUGCGCCCCCUGGCAUUCCGGGGGGCAUGCCUGUCCGAGCGUCAUUGCUGCCCUCAAGCCCGGCUUGUGUGUUGGGUCGUCGUCCCCCCCGGGGGACGGGCCCGAAAGGCAGCGGCGGCACCGUGUCCGGUCCUCGAGCGUAUGGGGCUUUGUCACCCGCUCGAUUAGGGCCGGCCGGGCGCCAGCCGGCGUCUCCAACCUUAUUUUUCUCAGGUUGACCUCGGAUCAGGUAGGGAUACCCGCUGAACUUAAGCAUAUCAAUAAGCG
rnacentral:rRNA from 1 species